rnacentral:rRNA from 1 species
GACGAACGCUGGCGGCGUGCUUAACACAUGCAAGUGGAGCGACGAACCAGGGCUUGCCCUGGGGCAGAGCCGCGAACGGGUGAGUAACACGCGGGUAACGUGCCCCGAUGACUGGGACAACCCGGGGAAACCCGGGCUAAUACCGGAUGUGCCCCCUCACAUCAGUGAGGUGUGUAAAGGAAGCUUCGGCCUCCGCAUCGGGAUCGACCCGCGGCCCAUUAGCUUGUUGGUGAGGUAACGGCUCACCAAGGCUGCGAUGGGUAGCUGGUCUGAGAGGACGAUCAGCCACACUGGGACUGAGACACGGCCCAGACUCCUACGGGAGGCAGCAGUGGGGAAUCUUGCGCAAUGCGCGAAAGCGUGACGCAGCAACGCCGCGUGGGGGAAGACGGCCUUCGGGUUGUAAACCCCUUUCAGUUGGGACGAAGGUCGGGCGGUUAACAGCCGUUCCGGCUGACGGUACCUUCACAAGAAGCCCCGGCUAACUACGUG